CCUACGGGGAGCAGCAGUGAGGAAUAUUGGUCAAUGGACGAGAGUCUGAACCAGCCAAGUAGCGUGAAGGAUGACUGCCCUAUGGGUUGUAAACUUCUUUUAUAUGGGAAUAAAAUGUUCCACGUGUGGGAUUUUGUAUGUACCAUAUGAAUAAGGAUCGGCUAACUCCGUGCCAGCAGCCGCGGUAAUACGGAGGAUCCGAGCGUUAUCCGGAUUUAUUGGGUUUAAAGGGAGCGUAGGUGGAUUGUUAAGUCAGUUGUGAAAGUUUGCGGCUCAACCGUAAAAUUGCAGUUGAAACUGGCAGUCUUGAGUACAGUAGAGGUGGGCGGAAUUCGUGGUGUAGCGGUGAAAUGCUUAGAUAUCACGAAGAACUCCGAUUGCGAAGGCAGUUCACUGGACUGCAACUUACACUGAGGCUCGAAAGUGUGGGUAUCAAACAGGAUUAGAUACCCGGGUAGUC
rnacentral:rRNA from 1 species